AUUGAGCACAGUGCUUCUGAUGCAUGGCUGGACUUCGAGAGCACCGCAGACACAUCGUACUGUACACUCAUCACCGCCAUUGCCCGAUGCGGCGUGGACGUCUUGACGAGUCCGGCAGCGGCACUGGAAGUUAGAACGCCUUUAUUUGACCUCCCUGACGUAACCAAGCUGACGUUACUGUCCGCUGCGAAUAACUCCAUUACCAUUGCCUGGGAACGACCAAAGGCUCGCUUCGAUUACUACUGGGUGUCCAUUACCGACCAUAAAGGCGAGAAACACAACAAUGCUGGAUCGUGCGCCAACGGCACAAUCAUUCACCCAGACCAGAACCAGGUCAAAUGCACAAGCCUCGAGGCCUGCACCAACGUGACCGUAAGCGUACGUACGCACCGAAACGGACCGCCGGAGAGUACGUCCGUCGGAGUUGCUCUCCAGGACAUAUUUGUCCCGGGUGAA
rnacentral:lncRNA from 1 species